rnacentral:rRNA from 1 species
GAUGAACGCUGGCGGCGUGCCUAAUACAUGCAAGUCGAACGAAACUUCUUUAUCACCGAGUGCUUGCACUCACCGAUAAAGAGUUGAGUGGCGAACGGGUGAGUAACACGUGGGCAACCUGCCCAAAAGAGGGGGAUAACACUUGGAAACAGGUGCUAAUACCGCAUAACCAUAGUUACCGCAUGGUAACUAUGUAAAAGGUGGCUAUACUACCGCUUUUAGAUGGGCCCGCGGCGCAUUAGCUAGUUGGUAGGGUAAAGGCUUACCAAGGCAAUGAUGCGUAGCCGAAUUGAGAGGUUGAUCGGCCACAUUGGGACUGAGACACGGCCCAAACUCCUACGGGAGGCAGCAGUAGGGAAUCUUCCACAAUGGGCGAAAGCCUGAUGGAGCAACGCCGCGUGGGUGAAGAAGGUCUUCGGAUCGUAAAACCCUGUUGUUAGAGAAGAAAGUGCGUGAGAGUAACUGUUCACGUUUCGACGGUAUCUAACCGGAAAGCCACGGCUAACUACGUG